CAACAAACAAAAAACACCCAGUCACUCAUUAUCUGGUGCAAAAACACCAGCCAACAUGUAUCUGGGUGUUUCCUAUGUGUUCAGCACAGUCCUAGGUAACUUUUAGAAUUAAAAAAAGAAAAGUGGCAAAUUGCAACACCCCAGUCUUUAGGGACAUGCAAUGUAGCUGAGGAGAGAAAAAUGAAUACCAAACAGUGAAUGAAAUUGACUGAUUGAGGUCGAAAGUGUUUGGGUCACACCAGUGCUCUGGAAAAUGUGGAACUGAGAAAUAGAGGGGAUUAUUGUACCUGAACAGUGAAGACAAGAGCCCCAGUGGAGAGACUGGGUUUGAAUGGACACAAGGAGAAAGGAUGCUACACCCUGUCCUGUGAAGCUAUGAAGAACCAAGAAAUGUCACGCAAACAUUACACACAGGGUGGUUUCCAGGAAGGAGAAGGCCCUCCAACCAAGCACUGUCUGGCCAUGCCUGAGCUUUUGUGCAGCCUCUUCAGGCUGGAACAGUGUCUGCGCCAGGCCCAGACAUGGUGUGCACUCAGCAGGUGGAAGUUGUUAUCCCUGGCCACCAUCAGGGAGCUGAAGUCUUUAGUGACUUGAGGAGGGAGUCAUGGACACCUGCGUGAAGACCACAGCUCCAUCACUUCUUCUCAAACAAGCUCAGUUUGGUAUAGAAACAUAUAAAUGGAGCUGAAGAGAGGCCCUUCAAUAUUCGCUUCAUCCAGGGAGUCAGGAGACAUACGAGUGGAAGUGAGGUGGCGGGUACCAGCAGAUUUGGCCUUUUCUGAAAGAACUGUGCAGGCAUGGGAAAGAGUCCUAGCAGAUGCAAUAAUAAAUUAAUAAAGAGGAGGAAAUGGGAC
rnacentral:lncRNA from 10 species